rnacentral:lncRNA from 1 species
ACGGCUUACCACUCCCUUGAGCUUCGCUAACAGAGUGAUUCGCACUAUAUGGACUGAAACCAGGAGGUUCCCCGUAAGCAUAAGCACCAUAAGAAGGUGGUGGUGGUGCAGCACCAUAGGUAGGUGGUGGUGGUGCAGCACCAUAGGUAGGUGGUGGUGGUGCAGCACCAUAGGUAGGUGGUGGUGGUGCAGCACCAUAGGUAGGUGGUGGUGGUGCAGCACCAUAAGUAGGUGGUGGUGGUGCAACGCCAUGAAAAGGUGGUGGUGCAGCACCAUAAAAAGGUGGUGGUGCAGCACCAUAAAAAGAUGGUGGUGCAGCACCAUAAAUAGAUGGUGGUGGUGGAGUAAAUGCAUAAGGAUGAACAUAGGCACCAAAGUGAGUUGGUGAUGGUCCCGAUGGGUAAUAAGGAGGUGGUGUUGAUGAAUAAUAAGGAUGCUGCGGCCCAUAAGCAUAAUAAGGAGAAGGUCCAUAAGCACCAUGAGGAGCAGGCACAUAAGCACCAUAAGGAGCAGGCCCAUAAGCACCAUAAGGAGCAGGCCCAUAAGCACCAUCAGUUAGGCCUCCAUAAGAACAACCCCAACCCCAAGGAGGCAGCGGUGAUGCAACACCAUGUGGUGAAGCUGGAGCUGCCACUG